UACGAAGGGGACUAGCGUUGUUCGGAAUUACUGGGCGUAAAGCGCACGUAGGCGGAUUUGUAAGUCAGGGGUGAAAUCCCGGGGCUCAGCCUCGGAACUGCCUUUGAUACUGCAAAUCUCGAGUCCGAUAGAGGUGGGUGGAAUUCCUAGUGUAGAGGUGAAAUUCGUAGAUAUUAGGAAGAACACCGGUGGCGAAGGCGGCCCACUGGAUCGGUACUGACGCUGAGGUGCGAAAGCGUGGGGAGCAAACAGG
rnacentral:rRNA from 1 species